rnacentral:rRNA from 1 species
AUUGAACGCUGGCGGAAUGCUUUACACAUGCAAGUCGAACGGCAGCACGGGAGCUUGCUCCUGGUGGCGAGUGGCGAACGGGUGAGUAAUGCAUCGGAACGUACCUAUUAGUGGGGGAUAACUAUCCGAAAGGAUAGCUAAUACCGCAUACGUCCUGAGGGAGAAAGCGGGGGAUCGCAAGACCUCGCGCUAAUAGAGCGGCCGAUGUUGGAUUAGCUAGUUGGUGGGGUAAAGGCCUACCAAGGCGACGAUCCAUAGCUGGUCUGAGAGGAUGAUCAGCCACACUGGGACUGAGACACGGCCCAGACUCCUACGGGAGGCAGCAGUGGGGAAUUUUGGACAAUGGGGGCAACCCUGAUCCAGCCAUUCCGCGUGAGUGAAGAAGGCCUUCGGGUUGUAAAGCUCUUUCGGCAGGAACGAAACGGUGGUUACUAAUACUAGCUACUAAUGACGGUACCUGAAGAAGAAGCACCGGCUAACUACGUGCAGCAGCCGCGGUAA